GAUGAACACUGGCGGCGUGCCUAAUUCAUGCAAGUCGAGCGAACGGACGAUAAGCUUGCUUCUCUUAUGUUAGCGGCGGACGUGUGAGUAACACGUGGAUAACCUAUCUAUAAGUCUGGUAUAACUUCGGGAAACCUUAGCUCAUACCGUUUAAUAUUUUGAACCGCAUGGUUCAAAAGUGAACGACGGUCUUGCUGUCGCUUAUCGAUGGAUCCGCGCUGCAUUAGCGAGUUGGUAAGGUAACAGCGUACCAAGUCAACGAUGCAUAACCGACUUGGCGGGGUGAUCGCACAAACUGGAACUGAGACACGGACCAGACUCCUACGGGAGGCAGCAGUAGGGAAUCUUCCGCAAUAGGCGAAAGCCUGACGGAGCAACGCCGCGUGAGUGAUGAAGGUCUUCGGAUCGUAAAGCUCUGUUAUUAGGGAAGAACAUAUGUGUAAGUAACUGAGAACAUCUGGACGGUACCUAAUCAGAAAGCCACGGCUAACUACGUG
rnacentral:rRNA from 1 species